GCCACCUUAGCUCAGAUGGUUAGAGCGACGCACUCGUAAUGCGUAGGUCCCCGGUUCGACUCCGGGAGGUGGCUCCA
rnacentral:tRNA from 2 species